UGGGGUAUAGCCAAGCGGUAAGGCAGCGGGUUUUGAUCCCGCCAUUCCCAGGUUCAAAUCCUGGUACCCCAG
rfam:Idiomarina sp. MCCC 1A10513 contig7, whole genome shotgun sequence.